rnacentral:rRNA from 1 species
UAUUUAUUUUAUUAUGUUUAUUUUUUGUUUAUUUAAUUAUUUAAUAAAAAUAAUUUUGUUGAAUUUUGUCUUAGUAUAUUUUGUAGAAUUGAUUUUUUAGAUUAUAGCUUAUUGGUAAUGUAAUUGUUUUAUGAAAUAUUAUUUUAAAUUUUUAAAAGUAGAUUUUAUUUAUUGUACCUUUUGUAUCAGGGUUUAUCAAAAUUUUAGUAUUUAUUUUACUUGUCUCGAUUUGGGUUGAUUUAUAAAUAAUUUAUAGUUAAUGUAUCAUAAUUAUUAUUAAAUUAUUUAUAGAAAUGAGAUGUUAAUCGUUUCCCAAGAUAUCUAGUUUCUUAAGAAAAAAUUUAAUUUUUUGAAGUUAAUUGUUUCUAUUUAAUUUUUUAAGUAUAAAUAUUAACUUAUUUCUUCUUUAAGGGAUAAGCUUUGCAGUUAAUAACCUAUAAUUUGUUUUAAUAAAAUAUAAUAGUAAGCUUUAGACCAGCUAUCUUUAAGAUUACGUUUUAGUUCAUUAUUUUUUAUUUUGAUUUUAUAAUUAUUUUAGGUUUUUUAUUAAGAUUAUUUAUUUAAUUUUAAAAUUUUUGUAAUAAUGAUAGAAUUAGUAUAUUUAUUUGUAUAUAAUUUUUACCUUGUGAAUUUAUUAUAAGGAACUAGGC